GUUGUGGCUCAGUGGUAGAGCACGUGCCUCACAUGUGUGAGGCAUUGGGUUCAAUUCUCAGCACUACA
rnacentral:tRNA from 1 species